ACAGCCCAAGGGUGUGUGCUCUGUGCUGUGGGCCUCAGCCAGCGGUGGUUCUUCCCUCUUUGAAGCUCCCAGCCAGAGAAGGGGUCCUGGCCUGUCCUGAGCCCCAGUGCCUGGGGGCAGAGAAGAUCUGCCCUUCCUGCUGGGUGGGGCCGCGCCUAGGAAAGAGAGGGCAGCUGGCUGACUCCCCAGACCCCUCACCGCCCACCCUCCUCCUCCUCUCCCAGGUAAGAGCAAAGAGGCGGAGAUUAAGAGAAUCAACAAGGAACUGGCCAACAUCCGCUCCAAGUUCAAAGGAGACAAAGCCUUGGAUGGCUACAGUAAGAAAAAAUACGUGUGUAAACUGCUUUUCAUCUUCCUGCUUGGCCAUGACAUUGACUUUGGGCACAUGGAGGCUGUGAACCUGUUGAGUUCCAAUAAAUACACAGAGAAGCAAAUAGGUUACCUGUUCAUUUCUGUGCUGGUGAACUCGAACUCGGAGCUGAUCCGCCUCAUCAAUAACGCCAUCAAGAAUGACCUGGCCAGCCGCAACCCCACCUUCAUGUGCCUGGCCCUGCACUGCAUUGCCAACGUGGGCAGCCGGGAGAUGGGUGAGGCCUUUGCCGCUGACAUCCCCCGCAUCCUGGUGGCCGGGUAAGGCAGUGGGGACCCGUUGGCAGUGGGGAGCUUGGGGGUGAUGAGUCCCAGCCAAGUGCGAGGCUCAGAGAGGCUGUGUCGCCUGCCCAAAGCCUCCCAGCCGGCAUGUGGGCUGACGCUGGGCUGGGGACCCAGUGGUUCUGGUGGCAGCCCCAUACUUGUGUCUUCCUGUGAUACAAAGCUGACUUGAUGGUGUGAGGCUGCUUCCCCACAGAGCCAGUGGGGUGCCUCUGAACUGCAGAACUGUAACACCUGUGAUAAGAGGGAUAACUGUACGCCAUGGGUGAUGGCCCUCCAGAACUUCCUCAUCUUCUCCAUUCAUUCACCAAACAUUUGCUGAGCACAUACUAUGUGCCGGGCACUGUGCUGAUUGCUGGGGAUGUUGUCCUGACCAGAGGCGGACGUGGUCAUUGCCCUCCCGUGUUCAUGGUCUGGAGGAGGAGACAAAUGGUGAUGGAAGAAUCACAGGAUGAAGUGUAGAAUUUGCCAGGUGUGAUGGCUCAUGUCAUCCGUGCAUUUGGGGAGGCUGAGGCAGGUAGAUUGCUUGAGUCUUAGGAGUUCAAGACCAGCCUGGGCAACAUGACAAAACCCCAAUCUCUACUAAAAAUUCCAAAAAUUGCCAGGGCAUGGUGGCAUGCACCUAUAGUCCCAGCUACUCGGGAGGCUAAGGUGGGAGGAUCACCUGAGCCCGGAAGGUCGAGGCUGUGAGUUGUCGUGGCGCCAGUGUACUCCAGCUUGGUGUGCACACAGGUGGGACUUCUAUUUCUGGCAGUAUGUUCAACUAGGUACCCGACUCAUGUUCUCCCUGAAACCUAACUGUCAAUAUUGGAUAAAAGAGGAAAGACAAUAUUAUUUAAUGGAUUCAUGAGGCAGCCAGAAAAUGAGGAGCACACAGGCCACAAGCAAAGAAGAACCAAGCACCCAAGCAGAUGAGCUGUGUGCUGGAGGCAUUUGCUGAACUGGGUGAACCCGAGUAUCGGUUCUGGGGCCCUGCAGCCUCUGGGAACAGAAGACAAAGCUUGUCUGAGAAGUUCUCGAAGGCUAUACUUCAAAGUGAGCGUGACCUAGAAGUAAACCCCCUUGGGGACUAGAAGGAAAAUUACGUGUCUGAAAUUUUGGCAUGGAACAGCCCUCAGACUGGUUUUCAGCCUGACUGUACCCUAUCUGGCUAGUCCAAAAACCCCUAAGUCAACCUUUAGUUUAAAGUGAUGGAAACUGGAGGUUCCCUAGUGCUUCACAGAAGCAAACAUACUUUUCUGAGGAAACCCAUUUUCACCACAAGCUUCAGUGAUACCCACAGAUAAAGCUCCAAGUGACAUGAGUAGCUCACAGCCAAAAAUCUCUAAACACACACAAGACACCAUGAGGGAGAAUCAGCAGACAGCAGAAAUAAAACAGAAGGCUGGGUGUGGUGGCUCACACCUGUAAUCACAACACUUUGGGCGGCCAAGGUGGGCAGAUUGCCUGAG